AACGAACGCUGGCGGCAUGCCUAACACAUGCAAGUCGAACGAGACCUUCGGGUCUAGUGGCGCACGGGUGCGUAACGCGUGGGAACCUGCCCUUAGGUUCGGAAUAACUCCCCGAAAGGGGUGCUAAUACCGGAUAAUGUCUUCGGACCAAAGAUUUAUCGCCUUUGGAUGGGCCCGCGUUGGAUUAGCUAGCUGGUAGGGUAAAAGCCUACCAAGGCGACGAUCCAUAGCUGGUCUGAGAGGAUGAUCAGCCACACUGGGACUGAGACACGGCCCAGACUCCUACGGGAGGCAGCAGUGGGGAAUAUUGGACAAUGGGCGAAAGCCUGAUCCAGCAAUGCCGCGUGAGUGAUGAAGGCCUUAGGGUUGUAAAGCUCUUCUACCCGGGAUGAUAAUGACAGUACCGGGAGAAUAAGCUCCGGCUAACUCCGUG
rnacentral:rRNA from 1 species